UACGAAGGGGGGCUAGCGUUGCUCGGAAUCACUGGGCGUAAAGGGUGCGUAGGCGGGUCUUUUAAGUCAGGGGUGAAAUCCUGGAGCUCAACUCCAGAACUGCCUUUGAUACUGAGGAUCUUUGGAGUACGGGAGAGGUGAGUGGAACUGCGAGUGUAGGAGGUGAAAUUCGUAGAUAUUCGGCAAGAACACCAGUGGCGAAGGCGGCUCACUGGCCCGAUACUGACGCUGAGGCACGAAAGCGUGGGGAG
rnacentral:rRNA from 1 species